CCUACGGGUGGCAGCAGUGGGGGAUAUUGCACAAUGGGGGAAACCCUGACGCAGCGACGCCGCGUGAGUGAAGAAGUUUUUCGGUAUGUAAAGCUCUAUCAGCAGGGAAGAAAAUGACAGUACCUGCCCAAGAAGCACCGGCUAACUACGUCACAGCAGCCGCGGUAAUACGCAGGGGGCAAGCGUUAUCAGGAUUUACUGGGUGUAAAGGGAGCGUAGUCGGUUAUGUAAGUCUGGAGUGAAAGCCCGGGGCUCAACCCCGGGACUGCUUUUGAAACUGUGUGACUGGAGUACAGGAGGGGCAGGCGGAAUUCGUGGUGUAGCGGUGAAAUGCGUAGAUAUCAGGAGGAACACCGGUGGCGAAGGCGGCUUGCUGGACUGCAACUGACGUUGAGGCUCGAAAGCGUGGGGAGCAAACAGGAUUAGAUACCCCGGUAGUC
rnacentral:rRNA from 1 species